AUUGAACGCUGGCGGUAGGCCUAACACAUGCAAGUCGAACGAGUGGCGGACGGGUGAGUAAUGUAUGGGAAACUGCCUGAUGGAGGGGGAUAACUUCUGGAAACGGUAGCUAAUACCGCAUACCAUCAGAUGUGCCCAGAUGGGAUUAGCUAGUUGGUGGGGUAACGGCUCACCAAGGCGACGAUCCCUAGCUGGUCUGAGAGGAUGACCAGCCACACGGGAACUGAGACACGGUCCAGACUCCUACGGGAGGCAGCAGUGGGGAAGAUUGGACAAUGGGCGCAAGCCUGAUGCAGCCAUGCCGCGUGGGUGAAGAAGGCCUUCGGGUUGUAAAGUACUUUCAGCGGGGAGGCGUUACCCAAAGAAGAAGCACCGGCUAACUCCGUGCCAGCAGCCGCGGUAAUUC
rnacentral:rRNA from 1 species